GAGACAACGGGACCAUGUCUCUGUCCGCCCUUCCAUACUUGUUCCCUCCAGCUACUCGCAGUCGCAAGCAAAGAUGCUUCACAUUCUCGCCAUCGCCUAGUAAGGUCUCAUCUCUCUCUCUCUCUCUCUCUUCAGUUUCUUUAUAUUGCCAGUACUUGUCUGUCUUUGAACAGAUAUACAAGUUCAUGUGCCUCUUCCAUGCCUUGUUGACUCUGGAGGAUUGAUUAAUCUUGCUGAUAGUGUAUGGCGAUCGAUGGGCAAUGAUCAUUUUUCCUUGGUUAGUAAUUAUUAUCAUCUUCUGGUCUUCCUAGUUAUGAAUUUUCAAAAUGAAGGUUUGGUUAAUGAGAUUUUCUGCUUCUUUCCCCUUUCACUUUUUAAGCACUCGUGUGCCUUGAAAAAACACAAAUGAACACUGCAAAGCCGGCUGAUAGUCUUGGGUUUAGAUUUCUAAACUGGAACUCUCCAGAUGUGAUUCUUUGACAAUUUGACAUAUUAGAUGUGUGCUAGUUACAUGUCUAAGAGAAGUUCGACUGGUUUGAGAAAUUAUAUUGUACGAAUCCUGAGUUAGGAAGUGCGAUUCUGUCUAGGGAAGGAUCCUCCUUGCUAAAAUGGCUUUCUUGAGUAAUUCUUGCACCCAGUUUUAAUUUAAAUUACCGUUUUGCAGUGUGGCAAUGUUCAGUCGAUACUUCGAUCAGAGAAAUUACCAUUUUUCCCUAUCUCUCUUUCUUUCUUUCCUUUGGUACGCACUUGAUCUGCCGUUUGAACAUGGGGAUGAUAAUAUAGCAUGACAAUGCCUUGACUUAGUUGUAAAAUGAUGGAAGCAACUCAUGUCCUCCUCCUGAUUUCGUCUUCAGCUUUCAAUAAGAAUCGCUUGAUGGUGUUUGUAUUUUCAUCCUAGCAAUUUGUUUCUGAGAAAAAAAAAAGUAUUGCUUGGUGACCGUCAUAUUUUUAAUUCAAUGUUUUCUUAGUUGUACUUGUAUCAUCAUCUUAUCAAUCCGAUUUCGAGAAAGAAAAAUGUCAUCUUGUAGGUAUGAUGUCUUCAUCCAGUGUGAAUACAAGUACUUGGAGUGGACUAACCUUCCAAAAUCAAAAGUGUAAGUGUGGUAAGCUUGCUGCCGUCAAAAUAUCGGAAUCAAAAAGGAACAAGCA
rnacentral:lncRNA from 1 species